rnacentral:rRNA from 1 species
GAUGAACGCUGGCGGCGUGCUUAACACAUGCAAGUCGAACGAAGCACUUUAACCUGAUUCUUCGGAUGAAGGUUUUUGUGACUGAGUGGCGGACGGGUGAGUAACGCGUGGGUAACCUGCCUCAUACAGGGGGAUAACAGUUAGAAAUGACUGCUAAUACCGCAUACGACCACAGAGCCGCAUGGCUCGGUGGGAAAAACUCCGGUGGUAUGAGAUGGACCCGCGUCUGAUUAGGUAGUUGGUGGGGUAACGGCCUACCAAGCCAACGAUCAGUAGCCGACCUGAGAGGGUGACCGGCCACAUUGGGACUGAGACACGGCCCAAACUCCUACGGGAGGCAGCAGUGGGGAAUAUUGCACAAUGGGGGAAACCCUGAUGCAGCGACGCCGCGUGAGCGAAGAAGUAUUUCGGUAUGUAAAGCUCUAUCAGCAGGGAAGAAAAUGACGGUACCUGACUAAGAAGCACCGGCUAAAUACGUG